UACAGCCACACCAUGUGAAAACACCGGUUCUCGUACGAUCACCGAAGUUAAGCAACGUCGAAACUGGUAAGUACUUAGAUGAGUGACCGCUGAGA